GCGGGGCUGUCGUGGCACGGCUCGCGGCCGCGGCUCCGCCCGGGCGUAGGGUCAGGGCGGGACCGGGCAGCGGCGCGGCCUCCCCGGACAGAGCCGGGCGAUGGGCCCUGCUCCGGUGCCGGGCCCUGCCCUGCGGUCACAACCACCCCCGGAGCGCUCCGGGCUGGGGCCGAGCGGCUGCAGAACUGGGAAAGGCCCCGGGAGUGCCGGUGACAGCGGCUGGACAGCAGGGGGAAUUUACCUCCAUGGAAAGGGGCUGCCCGGGGAGGUUUGGAGUGCCCAUCCCUGGAGCCUCAGCGAUCCUGCGGUUCUGCGACACGCGUGACCCGCAGCUCCUGCAGCCCAGCCCCGCUCACCCCACGCGGGGCACUAGAAGACCCUCGGCCUACCCUGGGGCCACAGAACACGGCAGGGAACAAGCCCCGGCGAGGGCAGGAGCCGCGUUCCUCGGGCAGCAGGGAACUGGGGUGGGAGGAAGCCAAGCCACGCUGCCGGGCCAGCAUCGUGGAGGAGAUGGGCACAAGGAUUUCCAUCGCACAGUGCCAGAACGGACUGGACAACAACGUGGCAAACGGAGCAUCAAGGUGUGACCGCAGCACUGGUGAGCCGGUGGGACGGGCUCGGGGAGAGCGGAGCAGCUCCGAGGCAGCUGCGGGUCGGAGAGCUGCAGCAAUAGAAGAGCCGACAAACGCCAGGUGUAGGUGUGAAAGUGAACACACUCCGGCAGUGCUGGCAGUACCAAACCCCUUGAAGAUAAGCGAAAGAACAGAAAGCAACCACAGCUGGGGGAAGUAAAGGGGAGACCCAGCUCCGAGCUACCCCAGCAACCUCAACAGCAUCCGAGUAAGUGGCUGUGAACAGGUCACUUGUCACUGAACUGAGCUGCCCUGUUCACUCUGGUGUUGCAUCCUUUUACCAAAGUGCCUGAUCUGUUCCAAGGAAAUGGCACAGAAUAUGAAAAAUGCCCACACAGGGGAAAAAAAUAAAGGACUUACUACGCAUAGACAGACAACCAGACAAUAAUGAUCUGUCUUCAGCCUGUAUUGUAGUUUGUAAGUGAGAUCUUUGUUUUCCAAUUAUUUUAACAGAAACAGUAGAAUGAAUAAAUCUAAACCAGAACAAGUA